CCUACGGGAGGCAGCAGUAGGGAAUCUUCCACAAUGGGCGAAAGCCUGAUGGAGCAACGCCGCGUGGGUGAUGAAGGUCUUCGGAUCUGUAAACUCUGUUUUUAGAGAAGUAAGAGCGUGAGAGUAACUGUUCACGUUUCGACGGUAUCUAACCAGAAAGCCACGGCUAACUACGUGCCAGCAGCCGCGGUAAUACGUAGGUGGCAUGCGUUAUCCGGAUUUAUUUGGUGUAAAGGGAACGCAGGCGGUCUUUUAAGUCAGAUGUGAAGGGCUUCGGCUCAACCGGAGUAGUGCAUUGGAUACUGGGAGUCUUGAGUGCAGAAGAGGAGAGUGGAACUCCAUGUGUAGCGGUGAAAUGCGUAGAUAUCUGGAAGAACCCCAGUUGCGAAGGCGGCUCUCUGGUCUGUAACUGACGCUGAGGUUCGAAAGCGUGGGUAGCAAACAGGAUUAGAUACCCGGGUAGUC
rnacentral:rRNA from 1 species